GAACGCUGGCGGCGUGCCUAAUACAUGCAAGUCGAACGCACAAAGAAGGAGCUUGCUUCUUCCGCGUGAGUGGCGAACGGGUGAGUAACACGUGGGAAACCUGCCCUUUAGCGGGGGAUAACAUUCGGAAACGGAUGCUAAUACCGCAUAGGCCAGUGAGUCGCCUGACUCAUUGGGGAAAGAUGGUUUUGCUAUCACUAAAGGAUGGUCCCGCGGUGCAUUAGCUAGUUGGUAAGGUAACGGCUUACCAAGGCGAUGAUGCAUAGCCGACCUGAGAGGGUAAUCGGCCACAUUGGGACUGAGACACGGCCCAAACUCCUACGGGAGGCAGCAGUAGGGAAUCUUCCGCAAUGGACGCAAGUCUGACGGAGCAACGCCGCGUGUGUGAAGAAGGACUUCGGUCCGUAAAGCACUGUUGUUAGAGAAGAACCAUCCUGUAUUAACUGUACAGGACUUGACGGUAUCUAACCAGAAAGCCACGGCUAACUACGUGCCAGCAGCCGCGGUAAUACGUAGGUGGCAAGCGUUGUCCGGAUUUAUUGGGCGUAAAGGGAGCGCAGGUGGUGGCUUAAGUCUGAUGUGAAAGCCCACGGCUCAACCGUGGAAGGUCAUUGGAAACUGGGUCACUUGAGUGCAGAAGAGGAAAGUGGAAUUCCAUGUGUAGCGGUGAAAUGCGUAGAUAUAUGGAGGAACACCAGUGGCGAAGGCGACUUUCUGGUCUGACACUGACACUGAGGCUCGAAAGCGUGGGGAGCGAACAGGAUUAGAUACC
rnacentral:rRNA from 1 species